rnacentral:rRNA from 1 species
GACGAACGCUGGCGGCGUGCUUAACACAUGCAAGUCGAACGGAAAGGCCCUGCUUUUGUGGGGUGCUCGAGUGGCGAACGGGUGAGUAACACGUGAGUAACCUGCCCUUGACUUUGGGAUAACUUCAGGAAACUGGGGCUAAUACCGGAUAGGAGCUCCUGCUGCAUGGUGGGGGUUGGAAAGUUUCGGCGGUUGGGGAUGGACUCGCGGCUUAUCAGCUUGUUGGUGGGGUAGUGGCUUACCAAGGCUUUGACGGGUAGCCGGCCUGAGAGGGUGACCGGCCACAUUGGGACUGCGAUACGGCCCAGACUCCUACGGGAGGCAGCAGUGGGGAAUAUUGCACAAUGGGCGGAAGCCUGAUGCAGCAACGCCGCGUGCGGGAUGACGGCCUUCGGGUUGUAAACCGCUUUCGCCUGUGACGAAGCGUGAGUGACGGUAAUCGGUAAAGAAGCACCGGCUAACUACGUG